UAUACACAUAUUAGCUGGAGAGCAUGAUCAGGUCUAUACUCUUAUCUUGCCCACAUGACAACAUUUCAAAGCACAGGUGAGAUUCAAAGAAGAGAAGAGAUGUGGUUUGUUUCACCGAGGGAAUAAAGGAAGCUCGUAAACAUCUACUGGGAUGGCCAAGUGAAGAAUCAAGUGUGAGAGACAGAAAGGCAGGCAGGGUGAGGGGCUCGAUCUAGAGAAAUGGGAAGAGGAGAUGAAAGACGUCCGAUGGAACAGCAGUCCCUGGUGAUGUGUUAAAAGAAGAGAAACUUCGAAAGAAGCAGGAUAGUGAAGAUCAGAUUAUAUUAUUUGAAAAUAAUAAUCUAACCAUGUUGGGUGGCAGAAGAAAGCCCAGGAAACAGAGAAAGUAAAUCAGAUAACUUAGCUACAUCCCAACCGAGCUAUGGAGUUUGCGUGCCUACAAUAACACUCUCUCUCCUUAAAAUGACCUAAUGGAGAAGUCAUUUCUUCCUUCCUGAAGUACUUAAAAUGGAACAGUAGCCAAACUUUAGACUUGAAUACUACUCACCACUAAAAAGAUUCAGAGUUCCUUGGAGAAUAAUGGAUUCCAAGCGUUGGAACAGAAGAAAAUCAAGAUGGACUGGAACUUCUUGUGGGUCUCAGAAAACAAAAAUGCUUUCAGAAGUGCCUGGGCUUGAGGCUGACUGGGCCACCGAGGGAGCUCCAGAGGUCACACUGUGACCAUCUGAGAAUCGACAUGAGAAUAUAGAGUAUAAUUAAUCAGAACAAGUGCAUCUUAGAAAAAGCUCUGAGUUCAAGAUGCUAAAACAGGAAAGUUCAUGUAAAGUAUAUCAAAAAAGGUUAUUUGUAACACAAAAGAGUGAG